rnacentral:rRNA from 1 species
GCCGGGUAGCUAUGUUCGGAAAAGAUAACCGCUGAAAGCAUCUAAGCGGGAAACUUGCCUCAAGAUGAGAUCUCACUGGGAACUUGAUUCCCCUGAAGGGCCGUCGAAGACUACGACGUUGAUAGGCUGGGUGUGUAAGCGUUGUGAGGCGUUGAGCUAACCAGUACUAAUUGCCCGUGAGGCUUGACCAUAUAACACCCAAACA